rnacentral:rRNA from 1 species
UGAGGAAUAUUGGGCAAUGCCCGCAAGGGUGACCCAGCAACGCCGCGUGGAGGAUGAAUGUCGUAAGAUUGUAAACUCCUGUUAGAGGGGAAGAAUAGUACCGGUUGGACCGGUAUAUGACUGUACCCUCAGAGAAAGCCCCGGCUAACUACGUGCCAGCAGCCGCGGUAAUACGUAGGGGGCAAGCGUUGUCCGGAUUUACUGGGUGUAAAGGGUGCGCAGGCGGAUGGGUAAGUCAGGGGUGAAAGUCUGCAGCUUAACUGUAGAAUUGCCUUUGAUACUGCUCAUCUUGAGUGUGGGAGAGGUUGAUGGAAUUCCAGGUGUAGCAGUGAAAUGCGUAGAUAUCUGGAAGAACACCAGUGGCGAAGGCGGUCAACUGGCCCAUAACUGACGCUCAUGCACGAAAGCGUGGGGAGCAGACA